rnacentral:lncRNA from 1 species
CGAAGUUCGGUGACCGCUUCCAACGCCGAAUCCCCGUUGAGCAUCUGUUAGGAUUAAGCUUGAAUUCACUAUAAAUCACCACAAAAAUAGGCAAAAGUUACGUUACAGAACUCUUAGUUCUAACUCUCUCAAAAUACAAGAUCUUCUCACAAUAACCCAGAACUCACACAAGAGUUCAUCACAAGAAUAUUUUCUCUCAUGAAAUCACAAAGAAAUCAUAGAAGUUCAAGAGUUUCAGAGAAGAUGAAAAACUAAACGAGAGAGAAGCUACUGGAAAUGAAAUUCACGUGUGAAAACCCUUGAUAUCUUUUCUUUUAUUAGAGAGAGAGACUUGCAUUUGAUCCAAUGGUCCAUGCCUUGCCACUUGUCAAUAAUGUUGUGAAAGUGGCCCUUUAAGUCAACAAACGCGUUUUGUUUAACCCGAUUUCUUUCAUUCCAGAUUCUUCCACUUACUGGGUCACAAUAUUGGGCUACAAACAAUUUGGGCCAGAAGACAAAACACACGUCUAGAUCCAUAUUAAGCUACUGGGCCCUCACAAAAAUUCAGUAAACCAUCUUCUACAAUCUCCACCUUCUGCUGCAUUUUUUUGUGACGGUCUAUAAGUGAAUUAAAAACUUAGUCUAAACUUAAUUUGCUCUCUUCACCUAUACAAAAACACAAAGUUAG